GGUGGUGUAAGGCGAACAUCGCUGCCCGGAAAGCAGAAGAUGCGGGUUUGAGUCCCGCCUGGCGCA
rnacentral:tRNA from 1 species